ensembl:lncRNA
CAGCUGGCAGAGAUGACAGGACUGACCUACAAACAGGUAAAAACUUGGUUUCAAAACAGACGGAGUAAGUUUAGGAGGAGUUCACAUCCUCAGCAUGUGAAUCAGGGCGUCCCACUUCAUUUUCAGGGAGAGGGACAGCCCCCACUCAGGGAGUCGUACACUCAGCACCUAGAGAUGAAGUCAAUCGCAAAUGGUGCAAAUUAUCAGGCCCCCUAUCAUCAUGCUGUGGGCAAUUUUGCGGCUGGACCUCAAUGGACCUUCCCCACCUCGCCCCACAUGUUUGACUGGUCAAUGCCACCAGGCAACGGCAAUAAAGGAGGCUUGAAGUAUGAGACAGAUAAUCUAAAGAAUCUGGAGCUUUCAAAUGGAUCUCAAAGAUUUUCCCAGGAAUACCUCAAAUAACAUCCCUAGCUCAAAGCCCUAGCUUUGAAUACUUCAUCUUAAGAAACCUGAGAUGAUACGUUGAAAAGUUUCUGCC